CCGCAUGAAUGUCUACAAUAGUGAUGAUAACUAAAAGAGUGUCUAUUUAUUUUUAUAUUUAUAUACUUUUUUGUAUUGUCUAUCAUUUAUUGGUUUACAUUUUAAAAAGUCUAUUGCUCUUUAAUGGCCCAAAAUUUCUAUAGUAAACUUUUUGUUUUGUUAGCUCUAACUAGCACGAGGCUCGUUAAAAUCAUAUUCUACAUAAUUUUUUUACAUUAUUUAAGAGGAUAAGAGUAGUGUAAUGUUUUCCAUUUUAAAUUAUGUAAAUGUAUAUAUCAUUAUUAUAUAUGCGUUUUAAUAAGAUUUUAUUUACAUGUAAUUGUUAUCGCAUAAAAUAUUAAUAAAA